rnacentral:rRNA from 1 species
UGGGGAAUAUUGCACAAUGGGCGCAAGCCUGAUGCAGCCAUGCCGCGUGUGUGAAGAAGGCCUUCGGGUUGUAAAGCACUUUCAGCGAGGAGGAAGGUGGUGAACUUAAUACGUUCAUCAAUUGACGUUACUCGCAGAAGAAGCACCGGCUAACUCCGUGCCAGCAGCCGCGGUAAUACGGAGGGUGCAAGCGUUAAUCGGAAUUACUGGGCGUAAAGCGCACGCAGGCGGUUUGUUAAGUCAGAUGUGAAAUCCCCGGGCUCAACCUGGGAACUGCAUUUGAAACUGGCAAGCUAGAGUCUCGUAGAGGGGGGUAGAAUUCCAGGUGUAGCGGUGAAAUGCGUAGAGAUCUGGAGGAAUACCGGUGGCGAAGGCGGCCCCCCUGGACGAAGACUGACGCUCAGGUGCGAAAGCGUGGGGAGCAAACAGGAUUGGAUACCCUGGUAGUCCAGCGCUGUAAACGAUGUCGAUUUGGAGGUUGUGCCCUUGAGGCGUGGCUUCCGGAGCUAACGCGUUAAAUCGACCGCCUGGGGAGUACGGCCGCAAGGUUAAAACUCAAAGGAAUUGACGGGGUCAUAGCUGUUUCCU